rnacentral:lncRNA from 1 species
GCUGUCUCUCGUUUUCCAGUGCCAGAGAAUGUGUGCCUUUCGGAAGAAGUCUUUACUCUCCCUCCAGGGAGGAUCCUGGAGGGACACAAACAGAUGGACUCUGCUGGCUAUGGUUUAACAGGACUGGCUUCCAUUUUGAUACGUGGAGUUUAAUACACUGUGGGGACUUCAGGCCAUCGAGAAAUGGUUCGUGCCCAGUGGAAGGUGAUUAUUUUAUUGAUCCUGUUGAUGGUCAUCCCUAGUGAUGGACUAUUCCACUCCAUAUACCGAAGUAUCCUUGUUGCCCAGCCGUUCAAGGGGAAUGCAGGACAGCCUCUAUUUCUUAGUCCAUACAUCAGAACUGGGAAGAUCAA